UACGUAGGGGGCGAGCGUUGUCCGGAGUUACUGGGCGUAAAGCGCUUGUAGGCGGUCCACCAAGUUUGGGGUGACAGUUGCCGACUUAAUCGGCAAAGUGCCUCAAAGACUGGCGGACUUGAGGGCCACAGAGGGUCAUGGAACUCCAGGUGUAGUGGUGAAAUGCGUAGAUAUCUGGAAGAACACCAAAGGCGAAGGCAGUGUCCUGGGUGGUCGCUGACGCUGAGAGGCGAAAGCCAGGGGAGCAAACGGG
rnacentral:rRNA from 1 species